AUUCCCGUCUCUUGAAUUUUUAGGAAACUUCGUCAAGCAUCACAUGAUUUGGAUCUGUUACUCAAGUAGCCUCGGUCAUAGACAACUAGGUGUCACUGUUGAGUACCCAACUCGUGUCGGCUGUCCCAGCUAGUUUGUGUUAUCCGAUCCUCAUCGAGAUUCAUAGUAAGAGCAACUCCAACCCACCUCCCUUCCGACCUCCUAUUCUGCAUUUAGGAGAAAGAAACAGAAAAAACACCUCCAACCCACCUCUCAUCCCGUUCCUAGCGAUAGGAGAGCUCUCAUCCGACGGGCUCCUACAUCUAGGAGCCCCAGUCUGGACUCUCAUCCAAGGCGAGGAGCAACGGCCGCUCCCUUCCCGCAUCGGCACGGACGCCUCUUUCGCCCGGUACGCCUCCUCUCCUGUCGUAGGAAGUGGAUCUCGAGCAGAGGGCCGGCGGUGGCGGUGGCGGCGGCCAGCUGGAUUUGCGACCCUGGCGGCCAAUUGAUGUGCUACUCUUGAAAGGGGAGGGGAGCAAGCCGGGCUCGUGGCCGCUACCUGCUGUGCCACUCGAGGAAGGGGAGGGAGGUCAGGGAGGGGAGCAAGCAAGGCUCGACCUCCGCCUGCUGUGCUUGAAUAGAGAAAGGGAGAUGGAAGGGGAGGGAGGUCGGGGAGGGGAGGAAGUAAGGUUCAGCCGCCGCCGUUGCGCUGCUCGUCCGGCUGCUGUGCUUGAACAGAGAGAGGAUAUGCUUGUAGUUUAAUUCUAAUUAUCCUGGUAUUGUAUGGACUUGUAGUUUAAUUGAGUUAUCCUGGUAUUGUUUGGACCUGUAGUUUAAUUUAAUGAUAUUGGUAUUGUAUGGACUUGUAGUUUAA